CCGGGGCGCCGGCUCCUCGCCGAGGCGGCUCUUCUCCGGGUCACCGUGGGCCGGCUGGAAGCCGUCGAGGGAGAAGCCACUCUUGGAGCCCAGCGGGGUGCGGGGCGAGUUCUCGUUGCUGGCCAUCUCCACCCCGGAGUCCUCCGACUCCGACUUGAGGAGCCGCCCGCUCGCCGGGAAGGAGCCGAGCCGCGGCGGGGGGCUGCCGGGGGAGCCGGGCUCCGGCCCCCACGCCGCCGGCGCCUCGCUGCUCAUCGGGGCCGGGCGCGCCGUGGGGCUCUCCUGCAGCCUGCGGUAGACGCUGGCGGACGUCCGCACCACGCAGCUCUCCACCGUCUCCCAGGAACCAUCUGCAGGGCGAGGGAGGCCCCGUCGGAUGGGGUCGGAUGGGACGAGGCCUGGCACGGCGCCUCCCUCCCGGCGGGGACCCGCUCCYGCCUCCCCGGUGCGCUCCGGGAAUGCGGGGCAGGGUGCUCACCGCCUCCGGGCACGGGCCGGCCCCUCCGUGCUCCCGGCCCUUUCGCGAGGCGACGCCGGGGCGCGGAUCCCCUCCAGGCUGUCCCGCACGCACGGCUCCCUGGCGUCCUGGGAGCAGGCUUCUGCCUGCCACCCCCUUGCAGGUUGUGCCGCCCCCCCCUGCCCCGGGAGACCCCUCCGGAGGGGCCCCCCAGCCUCUCCCCAGCGCCGGGGACGUGGGCACGACCGCAGCGCGCUGCCACGGCUCCCCAGGAAGGUGUCCCCAGGCCCGGCCCGGAGCCUCCGUCUUCCCAAGGUGCCCGGGGAGCAGCUCAGGGUUCCUGGCACCGGACUGCGUUCCUCGGCGCUGGCCUGGCCGGGGGCUGCCGAAACUGCUGCUCUCGCCACAUCGCCCCGCUCCCAGGUCAGCGCUGGCCUCAAGCGGGCUGCAGCGCCGAGCACCCGGGGCCACGCGCCUCCGGGAUGUCCCGGCGCUCCCCGCUCUCGCCCGGCCCCGGUGUUCAUCUCGGAUUCGCAGGGGCCGCGGCCAGCCCUGCACGGAGGCACCUGCCGUCGCCCUGCGAUCCGGGACACCGGCGCAGCCCCGAAUCCCGCAUCUCCCAAGACCCUGCGCAGGGGGGGCUCGGUCCCUGCGGCCGGACGCGUGCACCCCGCCAGCCCCCCAGCACGGCCCCAGCAGGCGGGACAGGACCCGCGCCGUGUCACUCACAGCGGCCGAACGCUGCCCUCCUCUUCCAGACGGCGCGGGAGCCACCCCACAUCGCCGAAAGCCGAAUCUGACUGCCGGGCGCACGUCCCAGCGCUCCCUUUUAUAGCCGCCCCAGCCGGAGACGGGCCCUGGAUCCAGAGGCGUCUCAUUACAGGACUGGUUCCCAACUGGUUCUUUUCAGGAUUUAAGGAUAGACCAUACUGGCUGGGCCGGUGGUUAAGGGCUCCCUUCCCAUCCGCAGACGGGAAGGCAGGAUGCUUAUUUGGGCACCCGAGGGCUGCAGACAGACUCUCCGGUGCCAGGGUGCCGGGUGAAUCCCGCAGCCGGCAGCCAGCUCCGUCGGCAGUGGGGCAACRGGGGGACGGCGGUGGGGCUCGCGGCCGGCCGUCGAUUCGGACAAUCCAGCAAUUCAGCAGCCCCCGAAGGGCCUCGCGCAGCCGCAUGAAUCCCAGCAAUCCCGCGGGGCGGCCACCUCCGCCCCCGGCGCKGGCUGGGAGACGGGGUGCCGCGGACGCAGGCGGCUCCGACCAGCCUUUCUCCCAGCGCCGAUUUCCCCGGUGCUCAGCGCCGCUGCCCGCGACAGCCCYGCGCUCAAGGGCUCCUUUCUCCCCAGCCCUGGCAGCUUUCCUCCCGGCCGUUCCCACGCCAUGUGCCGCAGCUCCGGUCGUGCUGCCGAGGGGUUUGGAUCCUCACCGGGGCAGAGGGGCGAUGCGGGGGUCUCCCUGCACNNNNNNNNNNNNNNNNNNNNNNNNNNNNNNNNNNNNNNNNNNNNNNNN
rnacentral:lncRNA from 1 species